rnacentral:lncRNA from 1 species
UCCUUGAAGAGUUUAAUUGGUGAAGCCAUUUGUCAGAUUUGUGUUUUCAGAUUACCCUGGCUACAGAAUGGAUUUGAUGCAGGAAGCAGGGAGGUCUAGAAAAGAGGCCUUUACAGUCACAUAGGAAGUAAAUCAUCUAUGCGUAGGAGACUCCUGAACUCCUCCCUCCCACCCUGUAGGCAAGGGAGACCUGAUGAAAGGGAGGAACAGACUUUCAGAGGUGCAGAAACUGCCCUAAGUUCGGCCUCUGCUGUUUGCAUUCAGCCUGCGUUCUUACUGCUUCCUCUGCCCACUUUGUUCCUGCUUCUCCCACCCUCACUAGCUUCUUAUAACUGGCAGCUGGACUUGAUAAUAUCAGCGGAGGCUUGGCACAGUGCUGGCACAGUCAGUGCUCAAUCAGGGACAGCUAUUGUUGGACAACCUGGCUGGCAGAGAUCUCAGCUUCCGUCCAAGCUGCUGCCUCUCAGACGGAGCUCUCAGUGUGCUGGGCACUAUCGCACGUGGCCUGUCCCAGCCUAGGGUACCGUCCCCUCUACACCUGACCAGGCCUCAGUGCCCUGUGCCCCAGGGUGGAUGGUCAGGAGUGCUGGUGGGUUGGCAGUGGUCAAGGGAUGGGGAGGAUGCGAUGGAUGGGCAUGAUAUAGAGAGUGAGCAGUUGUACACGGGCGACCAAGGGAAGGACAAAGUCAGGGAUGAGUCAGCAGGUGGGGGAAGAUGGUGCCCAGCCAAGACUGGGGAGCCACGAAGAGGCCAGUUGGGAAGGAGAGAUGCCGGACACGGUUUGUGGUGCUCAUGAGAAGAUAGCCAGUGGGAACAUGCAUGGGAGAGGCAGGUAAUGAACCUGGAGAGCCAGACCUUGAGACUGGAGAUCAAGCUUGAGGAGCCAGGAGGGAAAAUCCCCAUCUGAGCCACAGAUCCAAACCAGAAGGAACUGAAUGAGAUGCUCCGAGGGAUAAGGCCUGUCUUAGAGACAUCCUCGCAUCUAGGAGAGGGGGCGGCAGAUGGGCAGCCGUGGAGCCCAGCCCUGACCAGCUGCUGUUUGCAGGGGAGAGCUGCCUGUGUGCCCCUGUGGUGAGUGCGUGGUGACAGUGGGAUUAAGUGUACCCAGCAACCUCAGGGACCACUGGGUGGAGGAGACGCACGGCGGGCCCUUCUGCCUGGCCCUUCCCGCAACUCUGAGUCCUGGAUGCUUGGGGCUUGCUAAUCUCCAUCCCCACGGCAGCGGGAUGCGACACAACCAUUACUAAGGCCAUGGAAUCUCCCACCUCUCGAUGGCCAGGCGGUUCACCCAGCAAGUGUCUCCUAAUCUGAAGAGCUGGGAGAGCGAAAGAUUUUAUAAGUUAUCAGAGAACCCCCUGUAACCUCCCUUCUAGAAAGGAAGAUGUAAACCAGGACAAUGGGCCUGUAGCUGGCACCUGAAGUCAGUGAUCUCUCUCCUCCCCUCCUCUAAAUUCUCCUUCUUCCGUGUUUUCUACAUCCCCCGUGAUUUGAGUCUGCUGAUUUCAUUUGUUAUGUCUGCCUUCUGUUUCCUGCCUCAUUUCACAAAGAAUUAGAUGCUGCUCUCAACAAUACAUUCAAAAUAAUACAACCAUAAAGUAAAUAUUUGAGUAA